CCUGCACACCGUUAGAGCUUGGAGUUGACGCCACUGGCUGGCCGAUGAACUCACAAGUGUGGGCAGUGUGCCACGUGAGGGGCAAGUCUUUCGCUAACACCACAGGGUCUCUGGCCCAGUGAGUGGAGUUUGAUAGUAAUUCUUGCUACAAAU